rnacentral:rRNA from 1 species
GGAGGGUGCAAGCGUUAUCCGGAUUCACUGGGUUUAAAGGGUGCGUAGGCGGGCAGGUAAGUCAGUGGUGAAAUCCUGGAGCUCAACUCCAGAACUGCCAUUGAUACUAUCUGUCUUGAAUAUUGUGGAGGUAAGCGGAAUAUGUCAUGUAGCGGUGAAAUGCUUAGAUAUGACAUAGAACACCCAUUGCGAAGGCAGCUUACUACGCAUAUAUUGACGCUGAGGCACGAAAGCGUGGGGAUCAAACAGGAUUAGAUACCCUGGUAGUCCACGCCCUAAACGAUGGAUACUCGACAUACGCGAUACACUGUGUGUGUCUGAGCGAAAGCAUUAAGUAUCCCACCUGGGAAGUACGUUCGCAAGAAUG